UACGGGGGGAGCAAGCGUUGUUCGGAUUUACUGGGCGUAAAGGGCGCGUAGGCGGUAGCACAAGUCAGUUGUGAAAUCUCCGGGCUUAACUCGGAAAGGUCAACUGAUACUGUGCGACUAGAGUGCAGAAGGGGCAACUGGAAUUCUCGGUGUAGCGGUGAAAUGCGUAGAUAUCGAGAGGAACACCUGCGGCGAAGGCGGGUUGCUGGGCUGACACUGACGCUGAGGCACGAAAGCGUGGGGAGCAAACAGG
rnacentral:rRNA from 1 species